UGGCGGGACACCUCGCCCCAACGCGAGGCAAAUAUCUGAAAGGGUAUCCAUC
rfam:Thalassobacter sp. 16PALIMAR09 PM04_006, whole genome shotgun sequence.